rfam:Otolemur garnettii contig123545, whole genome shotgun sequence.
GUGCUUGCUUUGGCAACAUCUACAGUGCAAUGGGAUAGAUACAGAAGAUUAGCAUGGCCCCUGUAUAAGAAUGACAUGCACAUUCAUGAAGCAUUCCAUAAUUUU